AGAGUUUGAUCCUGGCUCAGGAUGAACGCUAGCGGCAGGCCUUCAUACAUGCAAGUCGAGGGGCAGCAUAAAUUACUUGUAAUUUGAUGGCGACCGGCGAACGGGUGCGUAACGCGUAUGCAACUUACCUUUUACUAGAGAAUAGCCAAGAGAAAUUUUUGAUUAAUGCUCUAUGUUCUUAUUUACUCGCAUGAGUAAAUAAGCAAAGCUCCGGCGGUAAAAGAUGGGCAUGCGUCCUAUUAGCUUGUAGGUGAGGUAAUGGCUCACCUAAGCUCCGAUAGGUAGGGGUCCUGAGAGGGAGAUCCCCCACACUGGUACUGAGACACGGACCAGACUUCUACGGAAGGCAGCAGUAAGGAAUAUUGGACAAUGGAGGCAACCCUGAUCCAGCCAUGCCGCGUGAAGGAAGACGGCCUUAUGGGUUGUAAACUUCUUUUAUACAGGAAGAAACCUUUCCACGUGUGGAAAGUUGACGGUACUGUAAGAAUAAGGAUCGGCUAACUCCGUGCCAGCAGCCGCGGUAAUACGGAGGAUCCAAGCGUUAUCCGGAAUUAUUGGGUUUAAAGGGUCCGUAGGCGGUCUUUUAAGUCAGAGGUGAAAUCCUGCAGCUCAACUGUAGAAUUGCCUUUGAUACUGAAAGACUUGAGUUAUUGUGAAGUGGUUAGAAUGUGUGGUGUAGCGGUGAAAUGCAUAGAUAUCACACAGAAUACCAAUUGCGAAGGCAGAUCACUAACAAUAUACUGACGCUCAGGGACGAAAGCGUGGGUAGCGAACAGGAUUAGAUACCCUGGUAGUCCACGCCGUAAACGAUGGAUACUAGCUGUAUGUCUACUUCAGGUAGAUGUGUGGCUAAGCGAAAGUGAUAAGUAUCCCACCUGGGGAGUACGAUCGCAAGAUUGAAACUUAAAGGAAUUGACGG
rnacentral:rRNA from 1 species